rnacentral:rRNA from 1 species
GACGAACGCUGGCGGCGUGCUUAACACAUGCAAGUCGAACGGAAAGGCCUCUUUCGGGGGGUACUCGAGUAGCGAACGGGUGAGUAACACGUGAGUAACCUGCCCUUGACUUUGGGAUAACUUCAGGAAACUGGGGCUAAUACCGGAUAGGAGCUCCUGCUGCAUGGUGGGGGUUGGAAAGUUUCGGCGGUUGGGGAUGGACUCGCGGCUUAUCAGCUUGUUGGUGGGGUAGUGGCUUACCAAGGCUUUGACGGGUAGCCGGCCUGAGAGGGUGACCGGCCACAUUGGGACUGAGAUACGGCCCAGACUCCUACGGGAGGCAGCAGUGGGGAAUGUUGCACAAGGGGUGGAAGCCUGAUGCAGCAACGCCGUGGGCGGGAUGACGGCCUUCGGGUUGUAAACCGCUUUCGCUCAUGACGAAGCUUUGUGUGACGGUAGUGGGUAAAGAAGCACCGGCUAACUACGUG